CCUACGGGAGGCAGCAGUGAGGAAUAUUGGUCAAUGGACGAGAGUCUGAACCAGCCAAGUAGCGUGAAGGAUGACUGCCCUAUGGGUUGUAAACUUCUUUUAUAUGGGAAUAAAAUGUUCCACGUGUGGGCUUUUGUAUGUACCAUAUGAAUAAGGAUCGGCUAACUCCGUGCCAGCAGCCGCGGUAAUACGGAGGAUCCGAGCGUUAUCCGGAUUUAUUGGGUUUAAAGGGAGCGUAGGGGGAUUGUUAAGUCAGUUGUGAAAGUUUGCGGCUGAACCGUAAAAUUGCAGUUGAAACUGGCAGUCUUGAGUACAGUAGAGGUGGGCGGAAUUCGUGGUGUAGCGGUGAAAUGCUUAGAGAUCACGAAGAACUCCGAUUGCGAAGGCAGCUCACUGGACUGCAACUGACACUGAGGCUCGAAAGUGUGGGUAUCAAACAGGAUUAGAUACCCUAGUAGUC
rnacentral:rRNA from 1 species